rnacentral:tRNA from 1 species
UGUGGCUCAGUGGUAGAGCACUUGCUUGGUGUGUAAGGCCCUGGGUUCAAUCCUCAGCA